CGCGUAGGCGGAUUAAUAAGUCAGUGGUGAAAGCCUCUCGCUCAACGGGAGAACUGCCAUUGAUACUGUUAGUCUUGAGUAUGGUUGAGGUGGGCGGAAUGUGUCAUGUAGCGGUGAAAUGCUUAGAUAUGACACAGAACACCAAUUGCGAAGGCAGCUCGCUAAGCCAUAACUGACGCUGAGGCACGAAAGCGUGGGGAGCAAACAGAAUUAGAUACCCUGGUAGUCC
rnacentral:rRNA from 1 species